CUUAUACUGAAGAAAAGAAAUAUUUCAGAAGUAUGAUUUUUACUGCAUGAUUAUAAAGUUUACUUCCUGUCACCGGUGUUGUUCCUGUAAAGCCAAAUAAUUCCUUUUGCUCUGCAGCCCCACCAAAUAAAAGAAUUGCAAGGACCCCUUCAUGAAAAUCCAUGCCUUGUUCCUUCAUGAGAGCACACCGUGUUGCGAGCUGUCAGCUUUUUUUGCUCUUGUCUGUUCAAUGAGCAAGCAGACCUUCUGUGAGUUUGCUCAGUGUUCCAGCCCGUACUAUGUAGAAGGAGGUCAGCAGUCACUGACGGAUUCUCAAACUGAACACCUCUUGUUUCUUCUGACUUUAUCAGCUACUCUAACAAAAUAAUCCACCACUCCCUACAAACUAUGUUUUAUAGGCUAUAGAAUUCUUGCUUAAUGAAAUAUUUUAGUUUGAAGCGAGGCAUAUCAUGACAGGAGCUGAAUUUUGUAAAAUCACUAGCCAACAGCGUGAAGAUGUUACCUUCCUAAUUUCACCUACCUUUCUUAAUUUCACCGUUUAACUGAUUUCUGCUCUGGUGGAACAAGUCUUGCCCAGGACUUGCAGAACUAGCAAGCAGGAAUUGCUAGCAGCAGCAGCGCUGGGUGUUGGCUGCCUGCUCUGUAGCACCAUAGCAAUUUAGGAGUGGCUUUGUUUAAUUAAUAGUCAAAACACUCCACUUGCUACCUUCAGUUUUAUUAGAGAAGGGGAGAGAGCAGUUGUGACUGGUUGCAGUAAUUAAAGUGUUAUGGGAAACAAAUGGCAAAGACUUAUUGUCUGUCCAUGAAGGACAAUAUCCUCUUCCUUCCUCUUGUGCAUUUUGUGCAGGACAGGGCUUUGUUCUGAAGGUACUGACCAGGGCAUCCUAAUGCAGGAAUGCGGUUCUCAGUUAACAAAUUUGAGAUGGCUAAAAGUUAAUGCUGGGUUUAUUGGGCUGGUUACACAAUAGCUUGCAGCUAAACUAUACAAAGAAUGUUACUGCAGUUUUCCCUAGCAGGAAGUGAAUUGGAUAUAAAACUAAAUGCAAAUAGAAGCUCCACCCCAGAAUUUCUUUUUUUUUUUUUUAACAUAUCAGUCUCCAUUUUAAAGGUUGGUCUCCAGUUCAUGUCAAGUCCAUGUUAAAAAUAUUAACGAAAGACCCAGCAACACUUCUUUGCCUAUAAGCUGUAGGUGCUAAUAUUGAUAUUUUGGAAAAUUUAUGCGUAUUUGGAGGCUGUAAUAACAGCCCUAAUUCCUUGUUUUAGUGAGGACUAGGGACUUUCUUCCCUUUCUCCCUACCUGCAUGGCUUCUGCACCAUGCACGUCUUCAAAAUAAGGGUUGAGUGCUAUUUGAUUCCUUAUAUUUUGU
rnacentral:lncRNA from 1 species